ensembl:lncRNA
GUAACACUGGCACAAAGGUCCCCUUUUCCUUGCAAGGUAAAGAAGACUUUUCCCCUUUUUUUUCCGUCUGUGUUUAAUGCAGAUGAGGCUUUUCUAUUCACAUGACAUUCAUGAACGCACUCCCACACAGAAGAAAACACACCGUGAAACCUCCCUGACAAAAACAACCCCUCUGACUCAUCACAACAGCUGUUAGCAUCCAAAAAGCCUUACCUUCCUCUAUAAAGAUAUCCACUCAUUUGUCAGCUGAAUGGAAAAAUAUCUAUAAAAGAAUAAAACCCUUUCCAGCUGUUCCAACAGCCGCUCUGCCAGUGUCUCCCCAACCGCCAGGUGAGUCAGUCCGACUGCGUCAAAAGGACCUGAACUCAUCGGUUUAUCUGCCACCCGGCGAGCAGAGCUCCAGCAGACAGCCAGACGGGGGCCAAAACACCACGCAGAGACGAAGCGCCGCGAGGAUUUUCCCGGGCCGCUACUUUUUCGCCGCCUCAGACCCGGAGCAGAGUGACCACAGUCAGGCUUGUUUGGCCGCGCCGCUCCCAGAGGAACGAGCCAAGCACCCGGUCGGUCAUUUGACGUGGCAGAGAGCAGCAGCGGGAGAGAGGAGAAAUGCCGUUCAGAAGACAAACAGUGCAGCCGCAUUGACGUGAUUCAAGCAGACAGGCAGCACAUUGAGGCCGGUGGAGGGAGCUGACCAUCAAAGACCCCGGCCGGCGGUCCCAGAGACUGGAUCAACGUCUAUGGAAAUUCCUCUUCAGUGCUUCUCCAAACAGGAGGGUGUGGCCUGCUGGAGUGUGUAUACACACACACACACACACACACACAGACUGUUGUGCUCAAAAAAUACUUUUUUUAGUAUGAACUUAAACGAACACCUCCGCUGUUCAGAAGUUUAGUCAAUUUAUGUACGAUUAUUAUCGUAAAAAAUCCACCGGGGCACUUAAGUACUUUACUUGAAGAGAUAAACUGUAGAGUUCAUCAAUAUGAAGUCUCACCUGCUGCCAUGUGUGGGUCCCUUUCAAAUCUACUGCUGCUUUUUGCCAUUACUGACAAUUCUGUUUCUGAAUCAGUUUGAAAUAUUAAAAAAAACUAUGAUAAGUUGUGAAACAUGCAGUCAGGCCCUUCAAAUAACUCAAACGGGAUGUUCCUGAACACCUGUAGCAUGGGGGAGGGGCCAAAAUCAUUCCAGACUCAGGCCCUCGUGUAACCUGUAGUCUGCAUAAACUACAUGUGCACUAUGGGCUUGUAAUAAAACAAGGAAUUUUCUCUCCCUCCAUUUCUCUCUUUCUCUAGACUCGUUCACAUACCUGCCUCACAUUCCUCAAUGUGCAGCCGGCGGCGGGAGAGCCGCCCUGCAGGUCUGAGCAGCGGAGACAACAGAGCUUCUGAGGUUGAACCGAGUCGCUCCCCUCUGCGCAGCCGAACGCGCCACGCAGUCCUUCCCUC